CCUAAGCAAAGAUGAAGAGGACAAGGACAACAAUGUAUACUUUUUAAAGAAUGAUGAUCCUAAUCUCAUAAUCAGAUCAAGGAAAUACCAAAGGAGAAACCUUUAUGAUCGCAGGGGUAACCUUCGGAUAAAAAGUUUGGGGUUGUUCCCCAAUAAAUGGUUAGUUUCCUACUUCACUUCUAAGUUUUAUAUUUCGAUUUUGCCAUAUGAGAUAGUUAGGUUUUUCGUUUCUCUUCUUUCAUAUUACAUCACGAACAAGUAGUUUAUAUUAACCAAGAACUUUGAUUGUAGUUGCUCCAAAUUUCACAUCUGCAAUUUUCUUAAUUGGAGAUGUGCAACAUAUAAGGGUAAGACUGUUGUUGAUUACUUAGUUAAAGUCCUGAAUUUAUUAUUUCAUAAUAUAAACCUUUUUCUUAAUGUUUCUCAAGACAGGUAUCGAUGAGGUGCAACUAAUUAUGAAGACUUUCAUGAAUAGUUCGACUUUCAUAAAUAGUUCUAAAGUUGAACCUGACCGUUACAAGGAAGGAUGAAGAAUCUACAUGAGCAAUAUGUUCAAUGUACAGAGAGAAAUUGAGGAUGCUCUUGAAAAGUUUAAUGACUAAUUCAGCAGUCCAUGAAUCCUCAUAAUUUCACAUUAUUUGAAAAAUGUGAUGAUGAGAUCGCAAUAAAUGGGUUGUGCAAUUCAAAAGAUAUGAUUGGGUGAAAAGAAAGAUGAGAGGAGAUUCCAACUUUACAACAUCAUUUUAGCUUUUUAAUGUAAUGUUACUUUUUUUUUCCAUAGUAAUUAUCAU